UCAAACUUGGUCAUUUAGAGGAAGUAAAAGUCGUAACAAGGUCUCCGUUGGUGAACCAGCGGAGGGAUCAUUAUUGAGUUGUUUUACCACUCAAAACCCUUUGUGAACCUUCUAUACCGUUGCCUCGGCGGCCCUAAACCCCCUAUAAGGGGGCGCGGGGCCCGCCGGUAAUACCAGUAUCUCUGUUUUCGAACCCGACGAUACCUCUGAGUGUUCUUAGCGAACUGUCAAAACUUUUAACAACGGAUCUCUUGGCUCUAGCAUCGAUGAAGAACGCAGC
rnacentral:misc_RNA from 1 species